rnacentral:misc_RNA from 1 species
GAAUACCUCCAGCGAAAAUCCCAGAACUGUCAACAGAUAAUGCAGCAGUCAGGGUCCCAGCAGACAUGCACGUGCUCAUAGCAGGACCAAGAAAAGUACCAGAAGGGGAUGAAGGGUUCAUAGGUACAUAAGCAGGAACUGAAGACAAGCAAUCUUCCUCAAAAACUGAAGGCAAUGGAUGGCCCAUAAGUGGGGCAACAGAAUCAGAAGGAUGCCGGGUUAGCCCAUCAGCAGAAACCAUAUCUAAUAGUGUGAGUUGAGGUUGUACAGAAGAGAAAUCAAAUUGGUCAUGUUGGGUAGUGGUAAAUU